rnacentral:rRNA from 1 species
CCUACGGGUGGCAGCAGUGAGGAAUAUUGGUCAAUGGACGAGAGUCUGAACCAGCCAAGUAGCGUGAAGGAUGACUGCCCUAUGGGUUGUCAACUUCUUUUAUAUGGGAAUAAAACAGGGUAUGCAUACCCUCUUGUAUGUACCAUAUGAAUAAGGAUCGGCUAACUCCUUGCCAGCAGCCGCGGUAAUACGGAGGAUCCGAGCGUUAUCCGGAUUUAUUGGGUUUAAAGGGAGCGUAGGUGGAUUGUUAAGUCAGUUGUGAAAGUUUGCGGCUCAACCGUAAAAUUGCAGUUGAAACUGGCAGUCGUGAGUACAGUAGAGGUGGGCGGAAUUCGUGGUGUAGCGGUGAAAUGCUUAGAUAUCACGAAGAACUCCGAGUGCGAAGGCAGCUCACUGGACUGCAACUGACACUGAUGCUCGAAAGUGUGGGUAUCAAACAGGAUUAGAUACCCGAGUAGUC